rnacentral:rRNA from 1 species
CAGGGAUUGCCCUAGUAACGGCGAGUGAAGCGGCAACAGCUCAAAUUUGAAAUCUGGCUUCGGCCCGAGUUGUAAUUUGUAGAGGAUGCUUUUGGUGAGGUGCCUUCUGAGUUCCCUGGAACGGGACGCCAGAGAGGGUGAGAGCCCCGUAUAGUCGGCCACCGAUCCUUUGUAAAGCUCCUUCGACGAGUCGAGUAGUUUGGGAAUGCUGCUCAAAAUGGGAGGUAUAUCUCUUCUAAAGCUAAAUAUAGGCCAGAGACCGAUAGCGCACAAGUAGAGUGAUCGAAAGAUGAAAAGCACUUUGAAAAGAGGGUUAAAUAGCACGUGAAAUUGUUGAAAGGGAAGCGCUUGUGACCAGACUUGUGCCGGGCUGAUCAUCCAGUGUUCUCACUGGUGCACUCGACCCGGCUCAGGCCAGCGUCGGUUUUCGUGGGGGGAUAAAAGCUUCGGGAACGUGGCACCUUCGGGUGUGUUAUAGCCCGUUGCUUAAUACCUCCGUGGAGACCGAGGUUCGCGCUCUGCAAGGACGCUGGCAUAAUGGUCAUCAGCGACCCGUCUUGAAACACGGACCAAGGAGUCGAGGUUUUGCGCGAGUGUUUGGGUGUAAAACCCGCACGCGUAAUGAAAGUGAACGUAGGUGAGAGCUUCGGCGCAUCAUCGACCGAUCCUGAUGUAUUCGGAUGGAUUUGAGUAAGAGCGUAAAGCCUCGGACCCGAAAGAUGGUGAACUAUGCCUGAAUAGGGUGAAGCCAGAGGAAACUCUGGUGGAGGCUCGCAGCGGUUCUGACGUGCAAAUCGAUCGUCAAAUUUGGGCAUGGGG